rnacentral:rRNA from 1 species
UACGUAGGGCGCAAGCGUUAUCCGGAAUUAUUGGGCGUAAAGAGCUCGUAGGCGGUUUGUCGCGUCUGCCGUGAAAGUCCGGGGCUCAACUCCGGAUCUGCGGUGGGUACGGGCAGACUAGAGUGAUGUAGGGGAGACUGGAAUUCCUGGUGUAGCGGUGAAAUGCGCAGAUAUCAGGAGGAACACCGAUGGCGAAGGCAGGUCUCUGGGCAUUACCUGACGCUGAGGAGCGAAAGCGUGGGGAGCAAACAGG